UGGCGCGCCUGGAGAGAUUUGAACUCCCGGCACUCGGAACCGGAAUCCGAUGCUCUAUCCGGACUGAGCUACAGGCGC
rnacentral:tRNA from 1 species